AGAGAUGAACUCGAAAAGCACAAGAAGAAUUUUCAGCAUGAACUCCAAGCACGUCAGGAACUGGAACAAUACAAGAAGAAUUCUGAGUAUGUUCAAGCGAGUGAAUAUCGAUACAAAGAGGAGCUGAAACAAAAAAGUCAGGAACUGG